rnacentral:rRNA from 1 species
CCUACGGGUGGCAGCAGUGGGGAAUCUUGCGCAAUGGGGGAAACCCUGAUGCAGCGACGCCGCGUGAGUGAUGAAGUACUUCGUUUCGUAAAGCUCUCUCAGCAGGGAAGAAAAUGACGGUAACUAAGUAUGCACCUCUGGCUGAUUCCGUGUCAGCAGCCGAGGUCAUACGUAGGGGGCAAGCGUUAUCCGGAUUGAAUGGGUGUAAAGGGAGCGUAGACGAUGCGCCAAGUAUGGCGUGAAAUGCCGUAGCUUAACUGCGGGACUUCAUUGGAAACUGGAGAACUAGAGUGCGGAAGGGGUAAGCGGAAGUCCAAGUGUAGCGGUGAAAUGCGUAGAGAUAAGGAGGAACACCAGUGGCGAAGGCGGCUUACUGGACUGUAACUGACGUUGAGGCGCGAAAGCGUGGGGAGCAAACAGGAGUAGAUACCCGAGUAGUC